UCAUUUUGCUAUAUUUUUCCAAAUAUAUUCAUCAUCCUGGCUCAUCAGUUGCAUUUUAUUGACCCAAAUCUUUCUUGAGUGCAGAAACCUUCCUUUACUUUUCAACAACUGCCGUCGGAUUCUAGAAGUGGGAUAAAAGAUUUAGAGUCUGUUUGGGAAUGAUUUUGAUAAUUGAUUUUUUGACUAUUAAGAAUAAAGUGGGAUCCACCUAUGAGAGAAAAAGUCAAAUAUGAAGGUUGGAAUAGUGAAAUAACAAUAAAAAAAUCAAUUUUUUUGGGGGAAAAAAUCACUCCCAAACAAAUUGUUAACGAACUAGGAAAUUCAUCAUAUCUAGUGGUGGACCCACUUUUUGAGCCAAUUUAGAAUAAAGAAAAACUACAUUACUAGAGCAUGUUUUGGC
rnacentral:lncRNA from 1 species